GGGAUCUUAGCUCAGUUGGUUUAGAGCGCUGCUUUGACAGAGCAGAGGUCAUGGGUUCGAAUCCCUUAGGUCCCACAA
rnacentral:tRNA from 1 species